CUUUUGGGAGCUUGCUCCCAAAAGUUAGCGGCGGACGGGUGAGUAACACGUGGGCAACCUGCCUAUAAGACUGGGAUAACUUCGGGAAACCGGAGCUAAUACCGGAUAACAUAUGAGACCACAUGGUCUCAUAUUAAAAGAUGGCUUUUAGCUAUCACUUAUAGAUGGGCCCGCGGCGCAUUAGCUAGUUGGUGAGGUAAUGGCUCACCAAGGCGACGAUGCGUAGCCGACCUGAGAGGGUGAUCGGCCACACUGGGACUGAGACACGGCCCAGACUCCUACGGGAGGCAGCAGUAGGGAAUCUUCCGCAAUGGACGAAAGUCUGACGGAGCAACGCCGCGUGAGCGAAGAAGGUCUUCGGAUCGUAAAGCUCUGUUGUUAGGGAAGAACAAGUACCGUUCAAAUAGGGCGGUACCUUGACGGUACCUAACCAGAAAGCCACGGCUAACUA
rnacentral:rRNA from 1 species